rnacentral:rRNA from 1 species
AUUGAACGCUGGCGGCAGGCCUAACACAUGCAAGUCGAACGAGUGGCGGACGGGUGGGUAAUGUCUGGGAAACUGCCUGAUGGACGGGGAUAACUACUGGAACCGGUAGCUAAUACCGCAUACCAUCAGAUGUGCCCACAUUGGAUUAGCUAGUUGGGGGGGUAACGGCUCACCAAGGCGACGAUCCCUAGCUGGUCUGAGAGGAUGACCAGCCACACUGGGACUGAGACACGGCCCAGACUCCUACGGGAGGCAGCAGUGGGGAAUAUUGCACAAUGGGCGCAAGCCUGAUGCAGCCAUGCCGCGUGUAUGAAGAAGGCCUUCGGGUUGUAAAGUACUUUCAUCGGGGAGGCGUUACCCGCAGAAGAAGCACCGGCUAACUCCGUGCCAGCAGCCGCGGUAAUUC